rnacentral:rRNA from 1 species
GAUGAACGCUGGCGGCGUGCUUAACACAUUCAAGUCGAACGGAGUUUUACGACGGAAGCCUUCGGGUGGAAGAUGUAAAACUUAGUGGCGGACGGGUGAGUAACGCGUGAGCAACCUGCCCUUGUGAGGGGAAUAACGUUUGGAAACGAACGCUAAUACCGCAUAACACAUGGAGGACGCAUGUUUUUCAUGUCAAAGAUUUAUCGCACAGGGAUGGGCUCGCGUCCGAUUAGAUAGUUGGUGAGGUAACGGCCCACCAAGUCGACGAUCGGUAGCCGGACUGAGAGGUUGAACGGCCACAUUGGAACUGAGAUACGGUCCAGACUCCUACGGGAGGCAGCAGUGGGGAAUAUUGGGCAAUGGACGCAAGUCUGACCCAGCGACGCCGCGUGAAGGAAGAAGGUCUUCGGAUUGUAAACUUUAAAUAUCAGGGAAGAAAAGAAUGACGGUACCUGAAGGAAAGCCACGGCUAACUACGUGCCAGCAGCCGCGGUAAUACGUAGGUGGCGAGCGUUAUCCGGAUUUACUGGGCGUAAAGGGUGUGUAGGCGGGACUGCAAGUCAGAUGUGAAAAUUACGGGCUCAACCCGUGAACUGCAUUUGAAACUGUAGUUCUUGAGAGCCGGAGGGGUAAAUGGAAUUCCCAGUGUAGCGGUGAAAUGCGUAGAUAUUGGGAGGAACACCAGUGGCGAAGGCGAUUUACUGGACGGCAACUGACGCUGAGACACGAAAGUGUGGGGAGCAAACAGGAUUAGAUACCCUGGUAGUCCACACCGUAAACGAUGAACACUAGGUGUAGGGGAGCAAUCCUCUGUGCCGGAGCUAACACAAUAAGUGUUCCGCCUGGGGAGUACGGCCGCAAGGUUGAAACUCAAAGGAAUUGACGGGAGCCCGCACAAGCAGUGGAGUAUGUGGUUUAAUUCGACGCAACGCGAAGAACCUUACCAGGACUUGACAUCCCGAGAAUCGAGCGUAAUGGCUUGAGUGCCUUUCGGGGAAUUCGGAGACAGGUGGUGCAUGGUUGUCGUCAGCUCGUGUCGUGAGAUGUUGGGUUAAGUCCCGCAACGAGCGCAACCCUUACGGUUAGUUGCUACGAAAGAGCACUCUGGCCGGACUGCCGUUGACAAAACGGAGGAAGGUGGGGACGACGUCAAAUCAUCAUGCCCCUUACGUUCUGGGCUACACACGUACUACAAUGGCGCAAACAAAGGGAAGCGAAUCCGCGAGGAGGAGCAAAUCCCAUAAAAGGCGUCUCAGUUCGGACUGCAGGCUGCAACUCGCCUGCACGAAGCUGGAAUUGCUAGUAAUCGCGGAUCAGCAUGCCGCGGUGAAUACGUUCCCGGGCUUUGUACACACCGCCCGUCAAACCAUGAAAGUUGGGGACACCCGAAGCCUGUGAGCUAACCGCAAGGAGGCAGCAGUCGAAGGUGGAUUCAAUGAUUGGGGU